GAUAUAUGAGGAGUAGGAAGGCUGUUCACGUCAGACAAUAAAAUCAACCAAUCAGGAGAUUCGUUUUUGACAUGUCACAUUCUCUUUGUCUACAUGGGCCAAAUGUGUUAGCUUUUUCAAAAAAAUGUUUGUGGUCCAUCUGAGACCCAUCUGAGACCCUCUCUUUUGUGCGGAAACCCUGGGACUAAAACUUCAAUGGCGAUUACUUAGCUCCACUUAACCAAACUCUGCGUUUUAUGUUUUAGUUGAUUAAGGGUUUCAUUGUUCUCUUUCUUCGACCUUUCAGCCUUGCCGUCUUCGCUGAUUUUAACAUGCAAACUGACGAUUUGUUUUCUUAAGAGAAGAAGGAGCCAGUGCGCCGUAUGAUGGAGCAGACGGUGGCGUGGAUGAGAUGGCGGCUUUGGUGCGUCGUAGGGCACAGCGUAAGGAGACGAAGUUGAUGACCGUACGGUGGAUUGUUUCCGUCGUCGGAGGAGUAAGGUAGCUGAGGAGGUGGCUGUUGAUUUCCACAACCGUAACAGUAACCUGACAUCGCUGGAAACGAAAAGGAGAAAGAAGCAAAGAAAGAAGCUUUCAGGAAGUAUUUAGAGUUCAGUGGAGUUAUUGAUUCUCUCACCAAAGGUAUUGUUUCUUUUUGUACAUUACACCAUUACUAAAACAUAAUGCAACAGUUUCUGUAUCAAAUAGUUUGAUCGUUUUCUGACAUAAUAAUUUGAUUUAUACUCUUUCGUAUGUUCUGGAACACAAUGUGGGUUUCGAAUGUACUUCUGGUUGUUUUGUAUGAGCAGGAUGACAAGCAGUUCCUGGACACCUUUGUUUCCAACCAAUAUGUACACAGCGCAGAUAGUUCAUGUGGUAAUUGCUGCAACUUUGUUGAAUUCCCCCGUAAACUCUUAACCGGUCAGGACAUGUCCUACAAAGAUCAGUCAAUACUGUAUGAGCCCAUCAAAGAGCUUGAUAUCAUGUUAAACCAAAUGCAGGAGUUUCAGUAGAUAUAAUUUCAGGCGUGAAUGAUCCAGUAACUUUGCAUUAUCUCAGCAGCCACCGAUCAGUUGCCUUUUUUCCCCGAUCAGCACCUUAUAACACCUUCAGAUCAUGUAGAAAUCUUCACUCAUUUGAUGUGGAUAAUAUCAGAUUUCUUGGAACUUAUGGUAAGAAAAUCAAUGACCUUCACAAGUACUCAGAAGCUAAAAGCAAGCUUGAUUUUGUCGAAAGAGCACUGAGGUGGAGACAUUUUGCUCCCACUGCACCUAAUACACUCAACUGUUAUCCUUUCACUGAUGGAGACUCUUUCGUGAUUGAAACUUGCCCUCAUGUCAUAAAUAUAACAACUGUUUGGUAAAAGGGUCAGAAGGUCAGCUGGUUAGGUUGAUCUGCAUUCCUAAAUUUUGUGAGAUCGGUAUUGCUGUUGCAGUGAGUUGAAAUUUGAGAAGAUACCAUCCUCAGUGGAAUUCAAUUCUUCUUUUGUAUCUCAAUUCAUCAAAUAUGGUUGUUCUUUGGCAGAAGAACUAAAGAAAUCUGGAGUGUCACACGCGUAGCUUUAACAUUCAGUUAUAAAGUUAAUCACAACACUGGAAAAUGUAGGUCUCUAGGUCAUACCAAAUAGAUAUAUGUUAUGUAUUUUCCAGAGAAAUACUUUUUGAGAUCUUUGGAAGUGUUAUUGUAUUAUUUCAUUACUUUGUAUAUAUAAUUUUCUAAAUUCCAGAGUUUUUUUUAGAAAACCAAACUAUUACAAUUCUAUAUUGUUCGUAUAAAUUGUUAAAAUUUUAAACCUGAAUUUCAUAUCUCUUGCCUUACACUAUUUAAUUUAUAUACUAACAACUGCGUAAAUAAAUAUUAACCCAUAAAUCUCAGGUUUUGAACUUGAAACCGCUAAUAACGCUAAUGAUCGAUCAAAUCAUUACGAAGAUAAGAUAUGAAAAUAUCAACACAUGAGUUUACCGGUCAUUUUUAUAUUAACCUAAUCAAGCUGUUUCACUAUCAAUGUUCCAUUUAUCACCACUAUUGACAACCUCGAGAAACAAAAAUAAAAAAAUGACAAUCCCGUACACAAAACUACACAAGACAUCAAUAACUAAUCCAGAGACACCGCCAGGUCAGCCAUUUGUAAAAACAUAUCAUAUUUAAUUUUUUUUUUUUUGUGUGUAUAUAUAUGUUUGUGUAAAAUUUUUUGUUGAAAUAAAUUUGAGAUUUAUUUAGCAAUUGCAUGGGUGGUGGCAAUGAUAAGUAACAACUAAAUUUGGUUUGGUCUUUCAAAUUAACCGAACACUAAUUAAUAAGUUAUUUAGUUAGAUAACAACUGAAUACGACAGUUUCUAAGUUUAUGAAAAAAUUAACCUAACAAAUUAGAUUGUAUCCAAUGAUAAAAAAAAUUAUUUUAGAAUGUAUUUACAACCAAUAAGGAGAAAAUAAAAACCGGUAGUAGAUGAGAAGGACGAUGUCAAGAAAGAAGAGCAUAGGUUCCUCACUUAGUAAGCAUGACUGAGUGAUCUUAUUUUUUGACAAAGAAGCUUACCCUAUUUCUGAAGGAAAAAAGUCAGGUUUUUGAUAGAAGCCCGAUUUUUUUCUAUGGUUUGGUUUUGCUUAAUUAUGUCAUAUUUUCAUUUAUAUUGUUUUCUCAUGAACUAUGCCCAUGUUUGGAUGACAAUACUCUUUUGUAGUUUUGGUUAUAAUUUGACUUAACUUAUCCCGAAUCAUAAGAUGAUUCAGUUUGGCAUAAAAAUAACAGAUUUAAAUCAUGGGCUAUUUUAAACAGAAACCAUGUUAACUAAUUUCAUUUAUCCUAUUUCUGCUGAGACAACGCCAUUUGACAAAUUUUCUACAGAUUUGUUUUCUCGGUCACUUAGAAAACAUUUUCAAUAUGUAUAUCAAACCAAGUUUGCCUAGCUGUGAACUUAGUUAGACCAAUGAACUUAAUUUCUCAACUGAAAUAAACGAAGUAAGAAGUCCGUUAAUAUGUUAGUUUGUACUUCCUUUUGAGGACGGAAGACUUAUAAAUGCGAACUUAAUAACUCUAAAACCAUAAGUAGGCCUGGGCGAAAAUAACUAUACCCGAAGCCCAUACCUUUACCCGUACCGAAGUAGCGGGUUCGGAUCGGUAACGGAUCCAUGCUAAAUACCGAAUGGGUCUUAACCUCUUGGCUUUCGGAUAACCGAUCGGUUCGGUUGUAAACCGAGUCCGAACGAAGCACCCGAGCUAAACCGAUCUUAUAUAUGAUUUAUGUUAUUCUUUAUGUUAUAUGCUGUUACAUUUACAUAAUUUCUAUGUAUUUUCCUCUCUCUCUUGUUCUCGUUUUCCUUUCGGCCACCAACCCUAAUCCCAAAAGAACAAAGUUUUUUGAUUCAAUCUUAUAAUAAUAAAAUGGAACUAUAAAUCUCUUUGUCUCUCUGUCUCAUGUUUUACCUGAGAAUUAGAAGAAUCAAAAUCAAUCACAGGUUCAUAAGUUUUCUUUCUUCUUCUUCGGUUUUUCUGGAAAUUUUUAAUUGAUUCCAAAUCAAUAGAAACAUCUUCUAUUUGCAUGUCUUUUGAUUCGCUUUUUUCAUUAAUUCAUCUUUUAUAUGCAUGUUUUCUCUUUAAUUUUUCAUUGUUAUCUGUAAUUUCUUGUUCUUAUUAUUCACUUACAUAUGUGCUUUUAUGUUUACUGGUGGUUUUGACAUCAUCUUUUGAUUGAGAAACCAUAACAAAAAAGAUGAAUCUGAAGCUGUUAACGAUCGUUUGUAUUUUCAUAGUGGGGAGAUGCAAAAUCGACUGAGCAUUUUGAUUUGCUUAUGGUUUAAUUCAUGUUGUCUAAUACUCUUGUACUAUUAUGUGGCUUUCAAUUUCAGUAUCUUUCUAAGUUUUAGAGUAAAGUUUGUUCUGUUUUGGUGUGUUAAUGAAUGGGUAGUUCGGGUUU